GAGAGCGGAACUGCUGGGGGAACCUUCGCCACCCUCUCCCGGGCAACUCUACGGGGAAAGCCCAGCUGCGGACAAGCCAGACUUGUGGUCUUCUGCCAGGGGCGGCAGGCCCUAUCCCCUCUCUGGGCCUCAGUUCCACUCCCCGCACCCCGUAAAAAGAUUGGCGUAGAAGUCGUGGAGGACCUCUCUCCAAGGGCGCAGAGGAGUCCAACACCCAACAACCUUGCUAUGGCCAGCUAAGUGGUUCGCACCCUGAGGACUAUGGUCCUCGGAGGAUGCGUUCGCCUAAGUGGACACGGCUCCCUGCUGAGCCUACCAGCAGGCACAACGAUGAUAUGUGGGGAGCACUCAGGGACCCGCUGUUGCUUUGCCUGGGAGAACACUGGAAAUUUUUCAUCUUGGCCUGGCUCCUUCCCCUCCCUCUCCUUUCUCCUCCCUUUCCCAGCCAGCAGCCUUCUGGGCUGCCUCCCCCCAAGCCAGCUGGUGUACGCUCAGAAAAUCCAAACUCAUUUCCAUGUGAGUGGAGGGGGAUAUAAUUAGGAAGGCCCCUUCCCCAAGUAGAGAGGGGAGCAUCCCCCGUGCCCCACUCACUGUGGGGGAGGGAGGGUCAAAGCAGCUUAAGGGGAUCUCUGCCCGCAAAGUGCCUAGGGCUCAGCUAUCUCAGGCAACCUGACCAUUCAGUGGGGACUCCCUUGGGGGGUCCAGGCCCAGACCCUCUGCAGUUACCUGAGCAGUCCAGCCAGCUCUGCCAUCAGCUCCUCCUCUCAGAACUACGUGCCUGCCCUUUGUAAAAGGGUCUCCUCUCUCUAGACCAGACAGGGCCCAGACCUACCACUUCCACUUGUGCCCCAGGGAACCAUGAAUGGAAAAUCCACCCAGCUCAGUAAGUACUUAUCUAGUGUUUACUGGAUGUCUAGCUGCACUGAGAGGAGACAGGCCGAGGAAGGAGUAGAGGUGAACAUCCAACCUUCAGAACUCACAGACCUAGACACGAUUCACGCACUGCAGACACCAGCAAAGGCGGUGGGCUGGCUGCCCUCUGCCCUCUGCCCUGCUCCAUGGGGCCAGGACCAUUUGGUUGUUGUUUUUACCUCCUGGAACCAGGAAAGUUUUGCUACCAAGAAGUUUGGCUUUACCAUUCUACAUUUUGCUUCCAGUUGUCCCCUCCUUCUUCCCUCAGAGUCCUGAGGCACCCCAGCAGGCCAGGAAGGUAAACUCAAGGUACCUCCAGAGACAGUGCAGAGUGAGGUUCCUGGCCCACUGGGUGAAGCCAACAGCCUCCUGAUACACAGGGGCACACUGCCCCAGAGAGGGAGGCUGUGGACAGUCUAAGAGCUCCUCCUCAGGCCUGCACCUAAGCCUGUGGCCCUGAAGCCAGCAGUGGAGCCUGGCCCAGGCCAGCCUCUAAGAUGGACAUUCGGUUUCACCUGCUAGACAGGUAUUGCCCUCAGUGUCUGUCCUCUCUAUGCAAAGCUAGGGCAAACUAAGAAAUCACCUGUCUCUGCCUUUUGGAACUAAGAAUUCAAAUGGAUUCAAAAUCAAUGAUAACACUGCCCAUGUGCAUGGCAACUCACAACACAUAACCCACAUUCACCUACCUCAUCUCUGCCAGUCCUCCACUCUCUUCCUCUCACUGAGGGAGGGAGCGUAACUCCACUGCAGAGAAGAAAACUGAGGUACAGGGAGGGACAAGGACGGACCUGCCCGAGGUCAACCGGUAAAUGGUAGAACGAAGAUGGGUUUUCUGACUGCAAUAACAAUUGCUAACACUGUGGUUCCUAUGUGCUGUGCCAUCUCAUAGCCUCUCCCAACUCAUUCAAUCUUCGCACUCCUAUGAGAUAGGAGCUAUUAGUCACCUCCCUUUACAAAUGAAGAAAUCAAGGCACAGACAAGGGAUGUGAAGUGCCAGGAUCGCACAACUAGAGGCAGGACGGAUUGAAACUCAGGUGGUUUCUCAAGGACCCACACCCUUGACUUCUCUCUGUGUGAUGUACCCUGGCACUGCUGCCUCCUGUCUGUGGCUGAAGUCUGGGUCCAAACCAUCCCCAGAAGGACCUAGAUAGGGCCCAGGUCACCAGGUGCUGAGUAGGAGGGCAGACCAGGGAAUGGGCUCAAUCUCCCAAUCAACAGAGUAGCAGAUGGAAACUGGGGUAGAUGCCAGAUAAUUUUUUUUCCAGACUGGGGGGUAGGGGGGAAGGAAGUAGUACUUAAGACCAUCCUCCCCACAAGCCAGCCAACCUGGGGACAAAGGGCCAGGCGAGAUGGCAGCCCACUCUCUCGGUUGGCUGCAGGCAGCCAGGGGAGGAGAGAACUAAGCCCAUGACUUGAGGCAAUAACUUUAUAAAGGGAAAGGCAGCUAGACUGUGGGGCAGGCACUAUGACCAGAGUUUAGGCAUGGACUUUCCUGCCUCAGGCAGCAUAGGAAAAUCAAGUCAGAAUGGUAUAGGUGGUGUCAGAGGCCUGCCUGCCUCAUUGGAGGCCAAGGCUGGCUCUUGAGCCUGGACCAAGAACAGGGGCACAAUUCCCACUCACAGCCAGUGAUGGGAAGUGGACCAGCAGAGGAAGCAACACAUGUGGAUGCUGACACGUCUGAUGGGGAGGCACAUUCUUGUCCCUCCCUUCUCCAUGAUUCCACAUUCAGGGGAGGGAGGAAGAAAUGAUGCAGGGCUUCUAUCGAUAAGAAAAAUACCUUGAGAAGGAUCACUUCCUGAGCCCCAUGGACAGCUGAGGCACAGCCCAAUCCAAGAAGGCUCCUUUUGGAAUGAAAGAAAUGGAUACAC
rnacentral:lncRNA from 10 species